rnacentral:lncRNA from 1 species
CUUAGCUAUUCAUUAAAGCAAAACAAAACAAGGACAUUCUGCCAGUCAAUUGUCCGGUGCUGGCUGCCCCUUCACUUCACUGGGAAAAACAAAACAAAACAAACAGUAAAAACCUCAGCAUUUCUUCGAGGACAUUCUGAGCCUUAGAAUAUUGUAAAUUUACAUUUGCAAUUCAAAAGUUGUGCCAGAAGAUACCUUAUGCUAACUGUGCCUGGACCUCAGCCCAGUUUUAUCUUUUUUUAUGGUUUAUAUAUCAUCAUGAAGAAAUAUUACUUGGAGGAGUGUUUUCUAAAAGGAAAAGUGAAGAGUGUGUCAUUCGGCCCCCCACAGUCCCCACUACCAGCAAGAACAAGCUUUGGGCACAUGCCUGCUGCUAGUUUGCACCCUGCCUGCUUAUCCACUUAGGACAUUCAGGCAAGUAAGGGUUGUGGCCUGCGUGCAAUGCAGAAUCUCUGGCCUCUUCUUGCCAUGAUACAGACUAAAAGUUACCAUACCUGAAUGAUAUAGUGGCAUAUCAGCACUGAGAUUUACAGUUGAUCACAGUAAGUUGAUUGCAUUUCUCUUCAUGCUCACA